GUGGAAUUUCAGGUGUAGCGGUGAAAUGCGUAGAUAUCUGAAGGAACACCAGUGGCGAAGGCGGCCUCCUGGCCUAUCCCUGACGCUAAGACACGAAAGCUAGGGGAGCAAACGGGAUUAGAAACCCCGGUAGUCCUAGCUGUAAACGAUGCAGACUUGGUGUUGGUGGUUUAAUAGCCAUCAGUGCCGAAGCUAACGCGGUAAGUCUGCCGCCUGGGGACUACGACCGCAAGGUUAAAACUCAAAGGAAUUGGCGGGGGAGCAC
rnacentral:rRNA from 1 species